ensembl:misc_RNA Y_RNA Y RNA
AGCUGAUCUGAGUGCAAUGGUGUUUACAACUAAUUGAUCAGAACCAGUUACAAAUUUCUUUAUUCCUUCUCCACUCUUCCUGCUUCACUUGAUUGGCCUUAA